ACAUCUCGGCAAUGGAUAUCUCUGCUCUUGCCACUAUGAAGAAUGUAGCGAAAUGUGAUACUUAGUGUGAAUUGCAUAAUCCCAUGAAUCAUUGAGUCUUUGAAUGCAAGUUGUGCCUGAGGCCUUAGCCGAGGGCACGUCUGCUUGGGUGUUG